rnacentral:rRNA from 1 species
GAACUUAAGCAUAUCAAUAAGCGGAGGAAAAGAAACCAACAGGGAUUACCUCAGUAACGGCGAGUGAAGCGGUAACAGCUCAAAUUUGAAAGCUGGCUCUUUUAGGGUCCGCAUUGUAAUUUGUAGAAGAUGCUUCGGGUGUGGCCCCGGUCUAAGUUCCUUGGAACAGGACGUCAUAGAGGGUGAGAAUCCCGUAUGUGACUGGGUGCUUUCGCUCAUGUGAAGCUCUUUCGACGAGUCGAGUUGUUUGGGAAUGCAGCUCAAAAUGGGUGGUAAAUUUCAUCUAAAGCUAAAUAUUGGCCAGAGACCGAUAGCGCACAAGUAGAGUGAUCGAAAGAUGAAAAGCACUUUGGAAAGAGAGUUAAACAGUACGUGAAAUUGUUGAAAGGGAAGCGCUUGCAACCAGACUUGCGCGCUGAUGAUCAUCCGGGCUUCUGUCCGGUGCACUCGUCUGCGCUCAGGCCAGCAUCGGUUUCGGUGGUGGGAUAAAGGCCUUGGGAAUGUAGCUCCUCUCGGGGAGUGUUAUAGCCCUCGGUGCAAUGCCGCCUACCGGGACCGAGGACCGCGCUUCGGCUAGGAUGCUGGCGUAAUGGUUGUAAGCGACCCGUCUUGAAACACGGACCAAGGAGUCUAACAUCUAUGCGAGUGUUUGGGUGUCAAACCCAUACGCGUAAUGAAAGUGAACGGAGGUGAGAACCCUUAAGGGUGCAUCAUCGACCGGUCCUGAUGUCUUCGGAUGGAUCUGAGUAAGAGCAUAGCUGUUGGGACCCGAAAGAUGGUGAACUAUGCGUGAAUAGGGUGAAGCCAGAGGAAACUCUGGUGGAGGCUCGCAGCGGUUCUGACGUGCAAAUCGAUCGUCAAAUUUGCG